rnacentral:rRNA from 1 species
GAUGAACGCUGGCGGCGUGCCUAAUACAUGCAAGUCGAGCGAACAGAUAAGGAGCUUGCUCCUUUGACGUUAGCGGCGGACGGGUGAGUAACACGUGGGUAACCUACCUAUAAGACUGGGAUAACUUCGGGAAACCGGAGCUAAUACCGGAUAAUAUUUCGAACCGCAUGGUUCGAUAGUGAAAGAUGGUUUUGCUAUCACUUAUAGAUGGACCCGCGCCGUAUUAGCUAGUUGGUAAGGUAACGGCUUACCAAGGCGACGAUACGUAGCCGACCUGAGAGGGUGAUCGGCCACACUGGAACUGAGACACGGUCCAGACUCCUACGGGAGGCAGCAGUAGGGAAUCUUCCGCAAUGGGCGAAAGCCUGACGGAGCAACGCCGCGUGAGUGAUGAAGGUCUUCGGAUCGUAAAACUCUGUUAUUAGGGAAGAACACACGUGUAAGUAACUGUGCACGUCUUGACGGUACCUAAUCAGAAAGCCACGGCUAACUACGUG